rnacentral:rRNA from 1 species
UACAGAGGUCUCAACCGUUGUUCGGAUUCAUUGGGCGUAAAGGGUGCGUAGGCGGUCGCGCAAGUCGGAUGUGAAAUCUCAGGGCUCAACCCUGAAACUGCAUUCGAUACUGCGUGGCUAGAGUGCUGGAGAGGAGACUGGAAUUUACGGUGUAGCAGUGAAAUGCGUAGAUAUCGUAAGGAAGACCAGUGGCGAAGGCGAGUCUCUGGACAGCAACUGACGCUGAGGCGCGAAAGCGUGGGGAGCAAACAGG